rnacentral:rRNA from 1 species
GACAUAGGUUGCGAACGUUAUCCGGAAUUAUUGGGCGUAAAGGAUGCGUAGAUGGUUUGAUAAGUUAUCAGUGGCAAAUCGGGGCUCAACCUCGUGGAAGCUGGUAAUACUGUCAUACUCGAGUGCAGGAGAAGUUAACGGAACUCUAUACGGAGCGGUAAAAUGUGACGAUAUAUAGAAGAACACCAAUAAGGCGAAGGCAGUUAACUAUUCUGUUACUGACGUUGAGGCAUGAAAGCGUGGGGAGCAAAACGG